rnacentral:snoRNA from 1 species
GCGAAUGAUUAAAAAUUUUUAACCCCGAGUCCACCACGCUGGUGGCACUGAAGAUUAAAAAUGCAACAACAACACUCUAAUUUUUUGAUGACG